CGAGUCGGCCGGACGAUCGCGCGUCCCGCGGGGGGCGUGAGGAAAGUCCGAGCUCCACGACGCAGGGUAGCGGGUAACACCCGUCCGCCGCGAGGCGAGGACCAGCGCCACAGAGACGAGCCCGGCCUCGGCCGGGGUGAAACGGGCAAGCUCUACCCGGAGCAAGGCCAAAUAGGAGGGCGCAACCGCGGUUCGCCGCGGGGAUGAGGCGCGUCGCCCAGCCCUCGGGUUGGCCGCAGGAGCCGUCGGGUGACCGGCGGCCUCAGAUGGAUGAUCGUCGCCGCGACCUCGGUCCCGGCACAGAACUCGGCUUACAGGCCGGCUCGCCGG
rnacentral:RNase_P_RNA from 2 species